rnacentral:rRNA from 1 species
CCUACGGGAGGCAGCAGUAGGGAAUAUUGCACAAUGGGGGAAACCCUGAUGCAGCAACGCCGCGUGAGUGAUGACGGCCUUCGGGUUGUAAAGCUCUUUCUUCAGGGACGAUAAUGACGGUACCUUAGGAGUAAGCCACGGCUAACUACGUGCCAGCAGCCGCGGUAAUACGUAGGGGGCGAGCGUUUUCCGGAUUUACUGGGCGUAAAGGGAGCGUAGGCGGACUUGUAAGUGUGAUGUGAAAUACUCGGGCUUAACUCGUGUGCUGCAUUUCAAACUGGAAUGCUAGAGUGCAGGAGAGGAGAAUGGAAUUCCUAGUGUAGCGGUGAAAUGCGUAGAGAUUAGGAAGAACACCAGUGGCGAAGGCGAUUCACUGGACUGUAACUGACGCUGAGGCUCGAAAGCGUGGGGAGUAAACAGGAUUAGAUACCCCAGUAGUC